rnacentral:miRNA from 1 species
UUUAUAUAGACUUUCGUUGCCUUAAUGAACAUAAAGCAAUGAAAACAUACAAAUUCCACACAUGUAGUGCGUAACAUUCAGACUAUUUAGAUCAAACUAUAUCACACUGUAACAAAUUUUCUAUUUAUUUCCUUGAAACAUUGUGGUAUCAAAUCCCAACAAAACCAAGUUGCUUUCAAGAGACAAAAGAUGAGUUGGCUGUCGUCCCACUUGUUUGUCUACGAAAGUUUGCCAAAAUUCUUUUAUUGACCGAGUAAACGUAGAGACAAGCUUUACGUUGAAGGGAAUUCUUUGGCCCAGUACGUGGCUAGAGCCUUAUCUUAGAAGAUCAACUCGAUACGCUUAUCAUUUAGGACUAAUAGCGGCAUACACAGAAGUGUAUCUCCACAAAAUAUGUGAUUUUGCCUAAAAAUAUUUUAACUUUGAAUAAUUUGGAAACUAUGUUAUUACUUCAUUCUAUAAAUAUCUUUAUUAACGGUUUUAUAUUUAUGCCACUGCAUAGUAAAUUACGAUAUUGUACAUGAUUAUAUAACUUAACAUAAGUAGUAUUGGAAGGUCAGUGAACGCCGAGGAUCUCCAGAACCCGUGAUCAUAACUAUGUAUAGAUCGACUACCCCGCGGGAGGUGACAGUGGUGGAUGGUGAACUACUAAUAAUAGCAUCCCCUCCAGCGCAGGAUCAUCGGAACGCUGACGGGAGCGCGCACAUGUGGCGCCCGUCGGCGUGCUGCUUUGCGUGCACGUUUAUUUUCGAUACGAUCGUCACGCGGUGCGGUUCACGGUGUUCCUUACAUAAGAGCCUCCGGCGAGACCCGUUGCGCCGCGUGCGCCUCGUGCGCCGCCGCGGUCGGCGAGGCUCCGCACCGGCGGCGACGUGCACCGCGGCCGCUCGUCGCACGCUGCAGGUCGGUGCACGCUCGGGUAACCGAUCCGUUUGACGCCCGCCGUCGGGUCUAUUUCGGGAAAAUACAAAUUUGGAAUGGAUGGUACUCGUGAGUCGUAAGCGAACUCCGCCGGUUGAGUCCAUUUUUAGAGCUGGUCUGCGCGUGCGCACCGAAAGCGCCGCCAGUGCUCAGCGAGCUGCCACCAAGCCGCGUCGCUCGUCACCCCCACCGCCCUCGACGGUUGUGGCGUUUUGCGGUCACCACCAGCCAACAAUUAAUGGCGUCCUGUGCUAAGCGAUAACUUAUGUAUUUUGUGUUUGGCAAACAUCCCUUUCGGCAGCCAUCAAGGAGAAAGGAGUACAGCAAUUUGAAGAGUGAAGAAAAGGCCUUGCGCGAGUUCCGUGCUUCCUUACUUCCCAUAGUGCUUAUAAUCAUAUGGAAUGUAAAGAAGUAUGGAGCUGCGCGGGCGUGUCCCCGAGUUUGGAAGCUGAAUCAUCAAUUCCUAUACAUGCGGAAAUAUCUGAGGAACAGUUACUUGUGUUAUCGUAUGAUAGUGUUUGAUUUAUUGGCUUUGAUUUGUGUAAUUUAAUGCCCUGUGGACUUAGUUUGCAUCGAGUUUUAAGAUAGGUAUAUCUUUUAAAAUAUGAGUAUAGGCGAAUCUUAAAAUUGUUUUUGCAUUGUAGUAUUUUGUUUUAUUCGUUUAUGGAUCUUUCUCAAAUUUCAAGAAAAACUGAUAUCUCCAUUAAAUAUCAACUAAUUUGGACAAUAUCAGAUCCUAUUUUCAAUGUUUUUUCAAAGGAUAUAGAAAUUUUAGAUUGUUUUUAUUUUUUGAAGGCCAAUAAAAGCUGCGAAGUAGUACGGAAAAAUAUGAAUUGUUUAUUCGGUGCCGAGUUGUCGUAAAAUAACAUCUGGCGUUGUGUAGGUAACAGUUCUGACUAAGGCAAUAUAAAUAAACGUAAAGCGGACGGUGCGGCGGCUUGGGCCUACAGCUUUUAACUUUAUUUGUAGUAGUAGAGAAAGGAAAUUCCCUGCCAGAAAAAGAUCGAAUUUCAUCUAGACAAUUUAUUUUAAAACACGUCAAUUAAAUGAAUGUAUAGAUAAAAAGUAGAGCGAGACGCGUAUGUGAUGCGUUCCGGGGAAUGUGGUGUGUAACAUUCGUUUAAAAAUUGUGUCAAACUACGACUAAUAAAAGCAAGAUUAUUUUUAUUUGUCUAAUGAAAAAUAUUUUAUACAUGGAAUUUUUUUUCGGUGAUGUUUCACCAAAGCCGGAAGGACCGUCAACUUUUUUUAUGUGGAUUUAAAAAAGUUUACAUGUGUGUUUUUAAACAUAUUAAAUAACGAAUGCAAAGACUAUAGCUUUCCUGAAAUUUGUAAGUCAUAUAAAUUUACUAAAUUUUUAAUUUUGAUAUUGAUUUUAAUUAUAUUUUGAUUUAAUUACAACGGCUUUUGAUUGUUAAACAUUAUUUUGUACGUUCUUGCUUUGUAAAUUAAUUAAAUGGAUACUGUCAUGAGGCGAUAAUAAUAAAAUAAGGCACUUUCAAUUAUAAAUAUGAAGUAGAUCUCUUAAGUCUUUUAAAUUUAUACGAGUCUUUAUUUUUGACGAAUUCAUUGUAAGAAUAUGUUAUCCUUGCGAACAUUGCCAAUGUGUUCCUCUACAAUAGUAAAAAAAGAGGGAUAAAAACAAAAAAAAAAGGCGUUAGUAUAUUGGGGCCGCGCCUGCGCCACAUCUGGUGGAACACUGCAUCUCAUUAUGCGGAUCCGUCGCGGCUCAAUGGACGGCGACGGUGCUCGUGCCCAUGCCGUGACCGAAGACAAUGCGCCUAAUAAUAUUAUUAUCGACUCAACACAACGUUUUCCGUAUUCUUUAUUUUCACGGCUCCUUUGUCACUCGUAAAUGUUAAAUAACCAUUUUCUUUUAUAUGCAUGACAAUUAUUUCUGACUCUGGGCCUAUUGGAGCAUGCCGUGUACACUACACAUUUAGAGUUAUAAAUCAUACAUAAUGUUUUAUACUUUUUUAUUUUUAGUUUGCUACGUAUACCUAAUCACCAUUGUUAUCCUAUACAUAUUGUGUACUAAAACGACGUUUUUUGUUACUCCACGUGGUGCUAUACAUCACAGAAAACAUACGAGGAAUAAAAAAAUAUGCUUUGUAAUAUUUUAAACAUUUUUGUUUAAUACACAAGAAACUAUUAGUUUAUCUCCAUGUGUAGUAUGUCUAACGCAAAUAGCUAAUGUUAGAAUAUCUUAGGCGAUUUGGUUAAAUCCAGCAAUAUUGAAUUUUAUUAUCUAUAUUUAUAGAACAAUUGUAAUUUAAGAUAAAAGUAAUAUAGGUAAUUCCAAAAUGAGUUAAAAAGUUUUCCUUGUAUGUAAGUAAGUUGUGAUUUAAGUUAAGUUUUAAUACAGUUUUAUGUAAAAAUCUUUUAUUAUAUUAAAACUGCAUCGUCGGCGAUAGUAGAAUACCACGUAACUAGCAAAUACUGCGUAAGUAACGAAAAGGCCAUCAUUGAUGUUAUUUUACUAUUUGUUUAAAACACAUACAGAAUACAAUUAAAACAAGAUAUAACGAUAGCCAAUCGAGAUUAAUAAUCCUUUUUUUCUCUUUACUUUAUACGCAGUAUUGCACUAUCCCGGCCAUAUGUAAAUAUUAAACUUAUCACAACAGGUCUGAUAUUUUUUAAAAUACUAUUUCAUAAAUGUUUAAGGUGUAUUAUUUGUUACUUCAAACUAUAUUGUAUUCUUUACAGAUGACUCAAAAUAAUAAACGUUGAAUACAACAAUUUAAAAGGAGUUUAAUUUUUGAAAAGCUAUAUUUGUGAAUUCAAUAUUUAAAAGUAACUUUAUAAUGCAAAAGGCCAAACAUUAGCAAGGUUCCGUUCAUUGUUUCAAGAGGCGAGGGGCAUUGUCGGCACUAGGGCAAUGACAGCGCGUACGCAUUAUGAUCAGGAACACACGGACACACACGCAUGAUCUAUAUACGAAA